rnacentral:rRNA from 1 species
AACGAACGCUGGCGGCAUGCCUAACACAUGCAAGUCGAACGAGACCUUCGGGUCUAGUGGCGCACGGGUGCGUAACGCGUGGGAACCUGCCCUUAGGUUCGGAAUAACUCCCCGAAAGGGGUGCUAAUACCGGUUAAUGUCUUCGGACCAAAGAUUUAUCGCCUUUGGAUGGGCCCGCGUUGGAUUAGCUAGUUGGUAGGGUAAAAGCCUACCAAGGCGACGAUCCUUAGCUGGUCUGAGAGGAUGAUCAGCCACACUGGGACUGAGACACGGCCCAGACUCCUACGGGAGGCAGCAGUGGGGAAUAUUGGACAAUGGGCGAAAGCCUGAUCCAGCAAUGCCGCGUGAGUGAUGAAGGCCUUAGGGUUGUAAAGCUCUUUUACCCGGGAUGAUAAUGACAGUACCGGGAGAAUAAGCUCCGGCUAACUCCGUG